CUUCAGUCUCCAGUCCAGAUGAUCUUGGAAGUGAUACAUUCUCUGGUGCAGCUGGCCUUCGAGAGAGACCUCACACGUAGAUGCCUGGCUGAAUGGAAGGACAAGGCCCCUCGGGAGACUGCGCACCGAGACGCGUCGCAUGCAGCUCAUGGGUGACGGAUGAGCAAGGGAUCAGAGGCGAGAGGAGGAAUAAUGAGGAUGUGCCCUGAUAAUCUACCACAUCCCUCGACCCAUCUACAGCCAGUAGUACUGCUUUAUACUACAUGAUACUACAAGAAUAAAAAUGUCUUACAUUUA